AGCUCCAAUAGCGUAUAUUAAAGUUGUUGCGGUAAAAGCUCGUAGUUGGAUUUCUGCACGGUACGACCGGUCUACACCACGUGUACGCAUCUGGUUCGGACUGUGCAUCCUCUCGAUGGGCGUUUCUGCGCUUGAUUGCGUGGAGCGAACUUCGGGACUUUUACUUUGAGGAAAUUAGAGUGUUUACGGCAGGCUAUCGCCAGAAUACAUUAGCAUGGAAUAAUACUAUAGGAUCUUGGUCCUAUUUUGUUGGUUUCUAGGAUUGAGAUAAUGAUUAAUAGGGACAAUUGGGGGCAUUAGUAUCAACACGUCAGAGGUGGAAUUCUUGGAUUGUGUUGCGACUAACUACUGCGAAAGCAUUUGCCAAGGAUGUUUUCA
rnacentral:rRNA from 1 species